GGUUAAGCGACUAAGCGUACACGGUGGAUGCCCWGGCAGUCAGAGGCGAUGAAGGACGUGCUAAUCUGCGAAAAGCGYCGGCGAGGUGAUAUGAACCYUUGACCCGGCGAUGUCCGAAUGGGGAAACCCAGUGCAAUCCGUUGCACUAUCGUUAACUGAAUACAUAGGUUAACGAGGCGAACCGGGGGAACUGAAACAUCUAAGUACCCCGAGGAAAAGAAAUCAACCGAGAUUCCCCCAGUAGCGGCGAGCGAACGGGGAGCAGCCCGGAGUCUGAAUCAGCUUGUGUGUUAGUGGAACGGUCUGGAAAGUCCGACGGUACAGGGUGAUAGUCCCGUACACGAAAAUGCACAUGCUGUGAACUCGAAGAGUAGGGCGGGACACGUGGUAUCCUGUCUGAAUAUGGGGGGACCAUCCUCCAAGGCUAAAUACUCCUGACUGACCGAUAGUGAACCAGUACCGUGAGGGAAAGGCGAAAAGAACCCCGGCGAGGGGAGUGAAAAAGAACCUGAAACCGUGUACGUACAAGCAGUGGGAGCCUMYUURUKRGGUGACUGCGUACCUUUUGUAUAAUGGGUCAGCGACUUAUAUUCUGUAGCAAGGUUAACCGUAUAGGGGAGCCGAAGGGAAACCGAGUCUUAACUGGGCGUUAAGUUGCAGGGUAUAGACCCGAAACCCGGUGAUCUAGCCAUGGGCAGGUUGAAGGUUGGGUAACACUAACUGGAGGACCGAACCGACUAAUGUUGAAAAAUUAGCGGAUGACCUGUGGCUGGGGGUGAAAGGCCAAUCAAACCGGGAGAUAGCUGGUUCUCCCCGAAAGCUAUUUAGGUAGCGCCUCGUGAACUCAUCUUCGGGGGUAGAGCACUGUUUCGGCUAGGGGGCCAUCCCGGCUUACCAACCCGAUGCAAACUACGAAUACCGAAGAAUGUUAUCACGGGAGACACACGGCGGGUGCUAACGUCCGUCGUGAAGAGGGAAACAACCCAGACCGCCAGCUAAGGUCCCAAAGUCAUGGUUAAGUGGGAAACGAUGUGGGAAGGCACAGACAGYCAGGAUGUUGGCUUAGAAGCAGCCAUCAUUUAAAGAAAGCGUAAUAGCUCACUGGUCGAGUCGGCCUGCGCGGAAGAUGUAACGGGGCUAAACCAUGCACCGAAGCUGCGGCAGCGACRCUUAUGYGUUGUUGGGUAGGGGAGCGUUCUGUAAGCCGUUGAAGGUGUGCUGUGAGGCAUGCUGGAGGUAUCAGAAGUGCGAAUGCUGACAUAAGUAACGAUAAAGCGGGUGAAAAGCCCGCUCGCCGGAAGACCAAGGGUUCCUGUCCAACGUUAAUCGGGGCAGGGUGAGUCGACCCCUAAGGCGAGGCCGAAAGGCGUAGUCGAUGGGAAACAGGUUAAUAUUCCUGUACUUGGUGUUACUGCGAAGGGGGGACGGAGAAGGCUAUGUCAGCCGGGCGACGGUUGUCCCGGUUUAAGCAUGUAGGCGGAGGUUCCAGGUAAAUCCGGUACCUURUUAACGCUGAGGUGUGAUGACGAGGCACUACGGUGCUGAAGUGAUAAAUGCCCUGCUUCCAGGAAAAGCCUCUAAGCAUCAGGUAACACGAAAUCGUACCCMAAACCGACACAGGUGGUCAGGUAGAGAAUACCAAGGCGCUUGAGAGAACUCGGGUGAAGGAACUAGGCAAAAUGGUGCCGUAACUUCGGGAGAAGGCACGCUGAUGUGUAGGUGAAGCCCCUGCGGGYGGAGCUGAAAUCAGUCGAAGAUACCAGCUGGCUGCAACUGUUUAUUAAAAACACAGCACUGUGCAAACACGAAAGUGGACGUAUACGGUGUGACGCCUGCCCGGUGCCGGAAGGUUAAUUGAUGGGGUUAGCGGCAACGCGAAGCUCUUGAUCGAAGCCCCGGUAAACGGCGGCCGUAACUAUAACGGUCCUAAGGUAGCGAAAUUCCUUGUCGGGUAAGUUCCGACCUGCACGAAUGGCGUAAUGAUGGCCAGGCUGUCUCCACCCGAGACUCAGUGAAAUUGAACUCGCUGUGAAGAUGCAGUGUACCCGCGGCAAGACGGAAAGACCCCGUGAACCUUUACUAUAGCUUGACACUGAACACUGGUCCUUGAUGUGUAGGAUAGGUGGGAGGCUUUGAAGCGUGGACGCCAGUCUGCGUGGAGCCAACCUUGAAAUACCACCCUUUAAUGGCUGGUGUUCUAACGURGACCCGUAAUCCGGGUUGCGGACAGUGUCUGGUGGGUAGUUUGACUGGGGCGGUCUCCUCCCAAAGAGUAACGGAGGAGCACGAAGGUUGGCUAAUCCUGGUCGGACAUCAGGAGGUUAGUGCAAUGGCAUAAGCCAGCUUGACUGCGAGCGUGACGGCGCGAGCAGGUGCGAAAGCAGGUCAUAGUGAUCCGGUGGUUCUGAAUGGAAGGGCCAUCGCUCAACGGAUAAAAGGUACUCCGGGGAUAACAGGCUGAUACCGCCCAAGAGUUCAUAUCGACGGCGGUGUUUGGCACCUCGAUGUCGGCUCAUCACAUCCUGGGGCUGAAGUAGGUCCCAAGGGUAUGGCUGUUCGCCAUUUAAAGUGGUACGCGAGCUGGGUUUAGAACGUCGUGAGACAGUUCGGUCCCUAUCUGCCGUGGGCGCUGGAGAAUUGAGGGGGGCUGCUCCUAGUACGAGAGGACCGGAGUGGACGCAUCACUGGUGUUCGGGUUGUCAUGCCAAUGGCACUGCCCGGUAGCUAAAUGCGGAAGAGAUAAGUGCUGAAAGCAUCUAAGCACGAAACUUGCCCCGAGAUGAGUUCUCCCUGAGAC
rnacentral:rRNA from 1 species